rnacentral:lncRNA from 1 species
UUUUCCAUGAGCAUUUAAGAAAAAAUAAAAAAGUAUUUCUUUUAUUAUUUUAAUCAAUUUAAUAUCAGUGAAUGGCAGCUCACUGCCUUGUUUCAAUCUUAUUGCAAUUUUAGUGGGUUUUGGGGGUGAAAUUUAAAAUAUUCACCCAGAUUUUCCUUUAGUACCCCUAACACACAGUCUCAGGAAUGAUUGACCACUGGGACUCAGCUACUUGGCCUUACAGGGAUCAGAACUAAUUGAAGUAACCUGUGACUAAUCCAUAUUAUGGAAGAAGGCAAGCAGGCACCAGAGAAAGUAGGUGGGAAGCUGAUGGGUAGUACCCAAAGGCCUGUUUCGUCUUUUUUGAACUCAGCAAAGGUUUAGAAACAAAAUCAGAGACAAGCUUCCCAAUCUAUUCUCCAAACAAGUCUCCUGGAGGUUGUGAGCUGAUAAGGAGAUAUCCAACUUUUUCCUAAGGAAGAAUAAGCCUUCAUUACCUGAAAACAUCAUGUAAUGAAGAUGAACUGUUUGAUGUUAAUGCAAGAAAGAAAACAGAGUGAUAUGAGAGUAAAUGAAAGCUUUGGGGGAAAAAAAGUUGCAAUAGCAAAAGACCUGAUUUUUCAGCAUGCUUCGGUGCCCAAAGAUGCCAAUAAAGAUCUAGGAAGAUACCCAAAAGCAAGAAUGUUAGUCAAGUACAGUACUUCCACGUCUUUCCUUCAUUCAAGUCAUACAGAAAGAUGGAGGUGUUUCUGAAAUAUCACUUUAGGUAUGUCUGCACCUCAUUAGACAGUUGCUUUUAAAAAUCUGGUAAAAGCUCAAUACAGUGAGCUUCAUGCCUUUCAAAGGUAAGGAAAUAAAGAAUGAAGGGAAUCUUAUGAAACUGGUGGU